UGUCCCUAAUAGCUACUGCAAUAAGAAACUAAUUAUUAAAGCAAUAACAAAAAAUGUACAGAAGAUGGCAGUGUUCACUCAGAUUACAGAAAAUUUGACUCUUCAGUUGGUGUAACAGUUCAAAAAGGAAAUGUGCACAAAAUCAGUCAGAGUCUGAGUUUGAGCUGCUUGUGAUGAUCCAUGAUGUUUCUAUGCAGUGUCUGGUGCAUUCUUCUCUUUUCAGGUGAUGCGGGUGGAGAAGGAAUAGCUCCUCUCUCCUCAUCUAAACUUGCUAACAAUGGUGACUCCAUUACUUUGACCUGCAAUUACAAUGGGUCUUACAGCAGUGAUUCUCUCCUGUGGUAUCGUCAAUACAGCAGCUCCAAACCUCAGUUUUUGUUUCUGGUCAGUGAAUCCAAACUUGAGCAGCCAGCUGACCCUCCAAUACCUGGAGUGACUGCUAAAGUAAAUGAGGAGAAAAACAGUGUGGAUCUGAAGAUCUCCUCUGCUUCAGUAUCAGACUCUGCAAUGUACUACUGUGCCCUGCAGCCCACAGUGACAGGAAACACAUCAACACUGUACAAAAUGAAGGGGAAAACUCAGCAAAGGUCAAGCAGUUUUAAAAUGCACUUAAGUAAUUUCAAAUGUGUCUAAUAGCAGUACAGACUCUUUCAAUUCUACAAUGGCAAAAAUGUGUUGAUAAAGAUCUAUAGUGCAGCAACACACUUCUCCUCAGUUUAGUAAUGAUUCAGCUUUGUCUUACUGAUUUGGCAAUUCUUACAGAUAUAUAAAUUUGAUAUCUGCAUAUGUUAAUAUAUCUAGCAUAUCUAUAGUCCUAUAAAUUAUUCAUAUUAAUGAAAAUAUAAAAUGCUGCUGUUGAUAUUUUACUAGCGAGUAUUUUGCAAAUGCAAUAAAAUCCCUCUGAAAAGCAUGAUUUAGUAACUGAAAGGAAUGUUAUUGGCAAAAGCUACAAAAGCAAAUCAUGUUGAUGUGCUGUACUGCAGUGAAGGACCCUGGACUAAAAUACUACAAGGAGACAAAAAACGCUGCAGAGACAUUCAUUUGACUCUGAGGGUGGAGUUUUGUGUCUCUGGGAUCUUACAAAAGUGGAGGUGUAUCUGAAACAAAGAAACAAACUUCUUGAAUUUGGCAUCCAAUAUAUCAAUCAUUAUGUUCAUCUUCACACUUAUUAGUUUAUGGAUUCAUCUGGGUGAGAAUAACUUAUGCACAUACAUGUUUACUUUCCUUUAAAUGUAUAUAAUUUAUGCUGAAUGGAAUAUAACUUUUACAUU